GACGAACGCUGGCGGCGUGCUUAACACAUGCAAGUCGAACGGAAAGGCCCUGCUUUUGUGGGGUGCUCGAGUGGCGAACGGGUGAGUAACACGUGAGUAACCUGCCCUUGACUUUGGGAUAACUUCAGGAAACUGGGGCUAAUACCGGAUAGGAGCUCCUGCUGCAUGGUGGGGGUUGGAAAGUUUCGGCGGUUGGGGAUGGACUCGCGGCUUAUCAGCUUGUUGGUGGGGUAGUGGCUUACCAAGGCUUUGACGGGUAGCCGGCCUGAGAGGGUGACCGGCCACAUUGGGACUGAGAUACGGCCCAGACUGCUACGGGAGGCAGAAGUGGGGAAUAUUGCACAAUGGGCGGAAGCCUGAUGCAGCAACGCCGCGUGCGGGAUGACGGCCUUCGGGUUGUAAACCGCUGUCGCCUGUGACGAAGCGUGAGUGACGGUAAUGGGUAAAGAAGCACCGGCUAACUACGUG
rnacentral:rRNA from 1 species